ensembl:lncRNA
CUUGAGGACAUAGCUCAGCUUGUUCAUGCCCAGAGACAGAAAGAGUUAAACUACUGACCCUGAAGGCAAGGGAGAGCCAGCUGCACAGCUGUGUGUGGGAGCCACCAGACUAAGCAACCAAGACAGGGUGGACAGCGUGAGAAAGUUGUCAAUGAGAACUGCUGCUGGAUAAAAUCAUCUUUCACCUGCCCAUGGCACCCCGAGUGUUCUUUCUGCUCAUCCACCCACUACCUUCAGACCUCAGCAUGAGCUGGAACCUGACCCUAGGCAUGACAAUAGGCACAGUCGUGAACCUGACAUUUGGCAAUGUUGGCAGGAUGAGAAGCAGUCAAACUCCAAACCGUGCUGUGAGCAGAGCCACACAUGGACAUGCCAUUCUUCCAAGAACCCUUAAAUCAACCUCAGAUGAAGCCUCAACUGCUGUUCCCACGCAGGACGCCCCUUUUCAGCAGGAAGCAGCCAGAAAGAAUCGUCAUCCAACACCCCAACAGCAGUUAGCUUUACUUCUCUUUGGGGAGGAAUAAUGUAGGAGUUAUUAAGAAAUUAUUUUAGGCAGGUAGUAAAGGUAAAGAGUCCUCAGUAAGGCUUUUUCUUUUAAUAAAAACAGCUCCCAAAACAUUUCUUUUCUCACAGAAAGGUGGCCAGGCCAGCAACCAUUGAUAUGCAAAUGCAGGCGAUUAGAAAGUAGGUUCACCCAACGUGGCAGUUCCCACUCACUUCUUGUCAGAUGUACCAGGUGUCAUGGCCGCCUUCAGAUAACACCACGUUUGCAGGACAUCAUGGCGACCUGUAUUCGCAUAUUAAAAGGCUAGAGUGGGAGAGCCAGGUUUUUUCAAGGGCUGCAUGAAUGACAUACUUGGUCAAACCAAUCCCAUGGGCCCUAUGCAAAUCAGACACCGCCUCCUCCAGCCUCCCAAUACAGCAAACUGCUUUCCGCAGCAUGCAGGGUUUCUCCAUUCAGAGACUCCCUCCCUCUGUACAGGGGAGACGUUUUCUUCUUUCUUUCUUCUUUCUUACCUAUUAAACUUUUCGCCCCUUAAAACCGCUCCAUGUGUGUCGUGACGUUAAUCGUAUCGGUGCAAGACCAAGGACGUUGGUGUUUCUCCAGCCAUCAGAACCACAUCAUUUAUACGCAGACUUUUCUUGUCAUUAUUCUCUAAGCAAUACAGCAUAACAACUAUUUAUAUAGCAUUUACAUUGUAUUAGGUAUUAUAAGUAAUCUAGAAGUGUUUCAUAAUGCACAGGAAGAUAUGUGUAGUUUAUAUGCAAAUGCUAAACUGUUUUAUAAAGGAACUUGUGCAUCCAUGAAUUUUGGUGUUCUCAGAGGGCCCUGGAGCCAGUCCCCCACAGAUACCAAAGGAUGACUGUACUUUAAACAGAGGAAUAAUGAUACUAACUGGAUUUUAUAUUUACACACACACACACACACACAAAGCAGUGAAAACAUUAAGUAAUCAGUAAAUGUAAAAAUAUAGCUUUGUCUCUUUUUAAAAUUUUUCUUUAAAAUAAAGUUUACAGCUUAAAGCAAAAAUAUGAAUAAUGAAUUGGGGUGUUCAUAGUUAACAGUAACUUAUAUGGCCCCAAAAAGUAGAACAAAGGGGAAGUCACCGGUGGCUCACACCUGUAAUCCCAGCACUUUGGGAGGCUGAGGCAGGUGAAUCACGGGGUCAGGAGAUCGAGACCAUCCUAGCCAACAUAGUGAAAACCCUUCUCUACUAAAAAUACAACAAUUAGCCGGGUGUGGUGGUGUGUGCCUGUAGUCCCAGCUACUUGGGAGGCUGAGGCAGGAGAAUCGUUUGAACCUGGGAGGCAGAGAUUGCAGUGAACUGAGAUCAUGCCACUACACUCCAGCCUAGUGACAGAGGAGACCCGUCUCAAAAAAAAAAAAAAAAAAAAAAAAAGGCGGAGCAAGAUGGCCGAAUAGGAACAGCUCCAGUCUCCAACUCCCAGCGCGAGCGACACAGAAGACCGGUGAUUUCUGCAUUUUCAACUGAGGUACUGGGUUCAUCUCACUGGGGAGUGCCGGACGAUCCAUCGGUGCUGGUCAGCUGUUGCAGCCCGACCAGCGAGAGCUGAAGCAGGGCGAGGCAUCGCCUCACCUGGGAAGCGCAAGGGGGAAGGGAAUCCCUUUUCCUAGCCAGGGGAACUGAGACACACAACACCUGGAAAAUCGGGUAACUCCCACCCCAAUAUUGCGCUUUAAGCAAACAGGCACACCAGGAGAUCAUAUCCCACACCUGGCCUGGAGGGUCCCACGCCCACGGAGCCUCCCUCAUUGCUAGCACAGCAGUCUGUGAUCUACUGGCAAGGCAGCAGCGAGGCUGGGGGAGGGGCGCCCGCCAUUGCUGAGGCUUAAGUAGGUAAACAAAGCUGCUGGGAAGCUCCAACUGGGUGGAGCUCACAGCAGCUCAAGGAAACCCUGCCUGUCUCUGUAGACUCCACCUCUGGGGACAGGGCACAGCUACACAACAACAAUAACAACAACAACAACAAAGCAGCAGAAACCUCUGCAGACGCAAACGACUCUGUCUGACAGCUUUGAAGAGAGCAGUGGAUCUCCCAACACGGAGGCUGAGAUCUGAGAACGGACAGACUGCCUGCUCAAGUGGGUCCCUGACCCCUGAGUAGCCUAACUGGGAGACAUCGCCCACUAGGGGCAGUCUGACACCCCACACCUCACAGGGUGGAGUACACCCCUGAGAGGAAGCUUCCAAAGCAAGAAUCAGACAGGUACACUCGCUGUUCAGAAAUAUUCUAUCUUCUGCAGCCUCUGCUGCUGAUACCCAGGCAAACAGGGUCUGGAGUGGACCUCAAGCAAUCUCCAACAGACCUACAGCUGAGGGUCCUGACUGUUAGAAGGAAAACUAUCAAACAGGAAGGACACCUACACCAAAACCCCAUCAGUACAACACCAUCAUCAAAGACCAG